rnacentral:rRNA from 1 species
UACGAAGGGGGCUAGCGUUGCUCGGAAUCACUGGGCGUAAAGCGCACGUAGGCGGGUCGUUAAGUCAGGGGUGAAAUCCUGGAGCUCAACUCCAGAACUGCCCUUGAUACUGGCGAUCUCGAGUUCGGGAGAGGUGAGUGGAACUGCGAGUGUAGAGGUGAAAUUCGUAGAUAUUCGCAAGAACACCAGUGGCGAAGGCGGCUCACUGGCCCGGUACUGACGCUGAGGCACGAAGGUCAGGGGAGCAAACGGG